rnacentral:misc_RNA from 1 species
AACGCACCUUGCACCCUUUGGUAUUCCGAAGGGUACACCCGUUUGAGCGUCAUUGUAAUCUCACUUUCGACUCUUUUGUUGAAAUGUGGACUUGGAUGUUGCCGUGUCAUUACGGCUCGUCUCAAAUGCUUGAGUGUACCUUGCAUUGCAAUGUAUCCAGUGUAAUAAACAUUUCACGGGAGCCAGGUCGCAAGACCGCAUUGGUAUUGACAAGCUCUAUGCUUCAAACCGUCCUUGGACAAACUACAACUGACAAUUUGACCUCAAAUCGGGUGGGACUACCCGCUGAACUUAA